GUCAUAUGCUUGUCUCAAAGAUUAAGCCAUGCAUGUCUCAGUACAAGCCAAAUUAAGGUGAAACCGCGAAAGGCUCAUUAAAUCAGUUAUGGUUCCUUAGAUCGUACCCACAUUUACUUGGAUAACUGUGGUAAUUCUAGAGCUAAUACAUGCCAACAGAACUCCGACCGGAGACGGAAGGAGUGCCUUUAUUAGAUCAAAACCAAUCGGUGGGGCGGCCUCGGUCGUGUCAUCGUACAACAUGGUGAAUCUGAAUAACGUUUGCUGAUCGCACGGUCUCGCACCGGCGACGCAUCUUUCAAAUGUCUGCCUUAUCAACUGUCGAUGGUAGGUUCUGCGCCUACCAUGGUUGUAACGGGUAACGGGGAAUCAGGGUUCGAUUCCGGAGAGGGAGCGUGAGAAACGGCUACCACAUCCAAGGAAGGCAGCAGGCGCGCAAAUUACCCAC
rnacentral:rRNA from 1 species